rnacentral:rRNA from 1 species
GUCUUCGGCCAUACCACGCUGGACACGCCCAAUCUCGUCUGAUCUCGGAAGCUAAGCAGGCUCUGGCCUGGUUAGUACUUGGAUGGGAGAAUUGAGAUAAAUCAUUUAAUCUGAGGCA